GUUAAGAAGAAAGCUGGGAAAGUGAAGGAGAGGGGGAAGAAAGGAAGUGAAAAGACUUUGGCUGUUGGAAUCUCAGAUCUGGAAUAGGCUGUAUAGGCUAUUUAUAAUCUCUAAUUGCCGAGGAACCUGAAGUUCAGAGUUAACCAGUGACUGACUCAGGACAUGCAAAAUGGCAAGACCCGAGGUAGAAGAGCUCACCUUUCCUGACUCUCAGUUUCCUGUUCCCUGAAAAUGUAAGCUAAGCUGGCAGCCCUGGUGAGUCCGGAGGAAGAAGGAGGCGUAGCCCUCCGCGCUCAGGAGAUCCAGGGCCCAGGAGAGAGAAAAGGGGGGACAAGAACGAGGGGAAAAGUGGAGAAGAGAAACCAAAAUAGGGUGUGUCCCAAGUAAAUAAAUGUGCGUCGAGCCCGCCAAGCACAUUCUCUCAUAGGGACCCUUGCGCCUGCUGUUCGCGUUUCCUGGAAUGCACACUCAGGUGUCUGCACCAGCUCAAGUCUCUGCUCAAAAGUGACCUCUUCGGAUAAAACUUCUCUGACCAUCCUAUCCAAGGUGGUAAUUAUUCCACCAAUUUUUGGUUUAAGUUUAUAUACCAAAGCACUUAUCACCAACUAGCAUAUGAAUCUAGGAGUUCUUAACCAGAAGUGUGAUUCAUGAGUGGGCUUCGGGAAAUCUGUGAACUUCCUGAAAUAUUAUGCAAAUUUAGUGGCCAUGUGUGCCAUCUGAACAUCUGUCUAAGGAGAAACUGCAGAUGGCUCUCUCUAGCGCAAUGGCUUGUAAUUUUUUCUUUAACUGUGGUCACCUUUGAGAAUCUGCAUUGUUCUACAAAGAGCCAUCUAGAAACUGAGGAAAUUCCAGGUUAGACUAAGCGCUUGGAUUUUAAAAUACUUUAUUCUGGUCAACCUCUCCAGAUUGCUGGGUAGGAGAUGGCAACCAGUGAUCCUGUGAAACAUACCUUAGGCUUAUCAGAAAACCACCUAGUUUGGGGAGGGCGGGUUCUUUCUAGACUUGGUAAUCCUUCCAGUGCUUUGUUUUUUCAGGAAAAGUAUGUGUUUCUGGGAUAGACAAAAAGGCCUGUGAUGAGUAGGGAUGUAGAAGUUGCUUAUUACUAGGCUUGAAAUCUUGGCUGUUUCCACUCUAUCUUGCCCCUACUGUUUACUGAAGUGUCGCCUAACAAAUUGAAUUGGAAGAGAGAAAAAAACCUUGAAUUUCAUCGGAGAAGCUUAGUAGUAACGCUACACUGUCAUAUUUCUUGGCCUUAUCCUAUGUUCACUUAACACAAUUUGCUAAUACUUGAUUUUGGGACCAAUAUGGAUACUAACAUACUUUCCUUGUUCGGAUCAACAGAUCCUGACUGUCAUCAGCAACCUGCUUACUCCUGUAUAACACUGCCAAUUAUAUAAUUUAAAAUCUCUAAGUUAAACACUGCCUCAUGUUCUCAGUUCUAGUUUCAAGGUUGCAUGGUGUAAUUAAAAGAACACUGACUUUUUUUUUUUUCAGAGAUGGGGUCUUACUGUAUUGCCCAGGCUUGUCUCAAAUUCCUGGGCUCAAGACCUCCUCUCACCUUGGCCUCCAAAAGUGCUGGGAUUACAGGCAUGAGUCACUGUGCCCAACUGAAAGAACACCGAUUUUUAACACCUAGAAUACUAGAUCCCAUCCCCAGUUUUGUCAUUCGUUAGCUGUGACCUGGACAAGUUUCUACACUUGUCUAACAGGGUAAAUAAAACCUACCCUGGUACCUCAAAAGGUUAUUAUGAGAAUCGGGUGGCGUAAUGGAUGCAAAGAUGCUUUGUCACCCGUAAAGUGCUAUAUGUAGGUCCAUGCAGUACUAUUCAAAUACCACUGAAGUAUCAAAAUCAUAGAAUGUUAGAGCUGGAAGAGAUUUUAGGAGCUCAGCAAGCCCCAUUAUUUCAAAGACGAAGAGGCCAGGUG
rnacentral:lncRNA from 1 species